GAUGGAUCCGUCGUGGAAUCGCCUAAUAUUUGUCCCGGACAUCAAAUACGGCAUAAGAAAUAAUUUCCACCCACCCGAAAUGACCACAUUAUAUUUUUUGGCAUUUUACAGCCAUAAAACUGCAAAUUCGCGCGAGUCCCAAAUUUUGUGUGCGCCCAUGCCUUCCUCCUGGGGCCCUGAUGGAUCCGUCGUGGAAUCGCCUAAUAUUUGUCCCGGACAUCAAAUACGGCCUAAGAAACAAUUUCCACCCUCUCGAAAUGACCACAUUAUAUUUUUUGGCAUUUUACAGCCAUAAAACUGCAAAUUCGCGCGAGUCCCAAAUUUUUUGUGCGCCCAUGCCUUCCGCCUGGGGCCCGGAUGGAUCCGUCAUGGAAUCGCCUAAUAUUUGUCCCGUACAUCAAAUACGGCAUAAGAAAUAAUUUCCACCCACUCGAAAUGACCACAUUAUAUAUUUUGGCAUUUUACAGCCAUAAAACUGCAAAUCCGCGCGAGUCCCAAAUUUUUGUGUGCUAUAGCCCAUGUCUUCCGCCUUGGGCCGGAUGGAUCCAUCGUGGAAUCGCCUAAUAUUUGUCCCGGACAUCAAAUACGGCAUAAGAAACAAUUUCCACCCACUCGAAAUGACCACAUUAUAUUUUUUG
rnacentral:lncRNA from 1 species